rnacentral:rRNA from 1 species
AUGCAAGUCGAGCGGACAGAUGGGAGCUUGCUCCCUGAUGUUAGCGGCGGACGGGUGAGUAACACGUGGGUAACCUGCCUGUAAGACUGGGAUAACUCCGGGAAACCGGGGCUAAUACCGGAUGGUUGUUUGAACCGCAUGGUUCAGACAUAAAAGGUGGCUUCGGCUACCACUUACAGAUGGACCCGCGGCGCAUUAGCUAGUUGGUGAGGUAACGGCUCACCAAGGCGACGAUGCGUAGCCGACCUGAGAGGGUGAUCGGCCACACUGGGACUGAGACACGGCCCAGACUCCUACGGGAGGCAGCAGUAGGGAAUCUUCCGCAAUGGACGAAAGUCUGACGGAGCAACGCCGCGUGAGUGAUGAAGGUUUUCGGAUCGUAAAGCUCUGUUGUUAGGGAAGAACAAGUGCCGUUCAAAUAGGGCGGCACCUUGACGGUACCUAACCAGAAAGCCACGGCUAACUACGUGCCAGCAGCCGCGGUAAUACGUAGGUGGCAAGCGUUGUCCGGAAUUAUUGGGCGUAAAGGGCUCGCAGGCGGUUUCUUAAGUCUGAUGUGAAAGCCCCCGGCUCAACCGGGGAGGGUCAUUGGAAACUGGGGAACUUGAGUGCAGAAAAGGAGAGUGGAAUUCCACGUGUAGCGGUGAAAUGCGUAAAGAUGUGGAGGAACACCAUUGGCGAAUGCGACUCU